rnacentral:ncRNA from 1 species
UCCUAGCCUUAAAGUCAGUUACCUAUUAAUAUACACAUGCAAGUCUCCGCACCCCUGUGAGAACGCCCUAAAUCUUCCUCCUAGGAGACAGGAGCCGGUAUCAGGCACAUUUUUCUGCCCAAGACACCUAGCCUCGCCACACCCACAAGGGAAUUCAGCAGUGAUUAACAUUGAGCAUAAGCGACAGCUUGACUCAGUUAAAUUAUUUAGAGCCGGCCAAUCUGGUGCCAGCCGCCGCGGCUACACCACUGUGGCUCAAAUUGACUUUCACCGGCGUAAAGCGUGAUUUAAGUACAUCCACUACUGGAGCUAAAUUUUAACUAAACUGUGAAACUCAUGUUAAUUAAGAAACUCAAAAACGAAAGUUGCUCCAAUCAGCUCAACUUGAACUCACGACAACUGAGGAACAAACUGGGAUUAGAUACCCCACUAUGCUCAGUCGUAAACUUUUAUUUACUCACUAUCUCGCCUGGGAACUACGAGCCAAGCUUAAAACCCAAAGGACUUGACGGUACCCCAUAUCCCCCUAGAGGAGCCUGUCCUAUAAUCGAUGACCCCCGUUUAACCUCACCAUUUCUAGCAAAUUCAGCCUGUAUACCUCCGUCACCAGCUUACCGCGUGAGCGAAAGUAAGCUCAAUGUUUAUCCAACUAAACGUCAGGUCAAGGUGCAGCACAUGAAAUGGGAAGAGAUGGGCUACACUAUCUAACCUAGAUGAUACGAAAAACUACUUAUGAAACCUAGUCAGAAGGCGGAUUUAGAAGUAAAAUGGAAUCAGAGCGUCCAUUUUAACCCGGCACUGGGGUGUGUACAUACCGCCCGUCACCCUCCUCAAUGCUACAAAAAAAGUUAAUAACACAUUUUUAGCUCUACAGAUGAGGCAAGUCGUAACAUGGUAAGUAUACCGGAAGGUGUGCUUGGAAA